rnacentral:rRNA from 1 species
CGUGCAGGCGGUCUGUUAAGUCUAGGGUGAAAGCUCCCGGCUCAACUGGGAGAGGUCCUUGGAUACUGGCGGACUUGAGGGAGGCAGAGGAAAGUGGAAUUCCCGGUGUAGUGGUGAUAUGCGUAGAUAUCGGGAGGAACACCAGUGGCGAAGGCGGCUUUCUGGGCCUUACCUGACGCUGAGACGCGAAAGCGUGGGGAGCGAACCGGAUUAGAUACCCGGGUAGUCCACGCCGUAAACUAUGGACACUAGGUGUGGGGGGUAUCGACCCCUCCGUGCCGAAGCUAACGCAUUAAGUGUCCCGCCUGGGGAGUACGGCCGCAAGGCUAAA